GAUGAACGCUGGCGGCGUGCCUAAUACAUGCAAGUCGAGCGAACGGACGAGAAGCUUGCUUCUCUGAUGUUAGCGGCGGACGGGUGAGUAACACGUGGAUAACCUACUUAUAAGACUGGGAUAACUUCGGGAAACCGGAGCUAAUACCGGAUGAUAUUUUGAACCGCAUGGUUCAAAAGUGAAAGACGGUCUUGCUGUCACUUAUAGAUGGAUCCGCGCUGCAUUAGCUAGUUGGUAAGGUAACGGCUUACCAAGGCAACGAUGCAUAGCCGACCUGAGAGGGUGAUCGGCCACACUGGAACUGAGACACGGUCCAGACUCCUACGGGAGGCAGCAGUAGGGAAUCUUCCGCAAUGGGCGAAAGCCUGACGGAGCAACGCCGCGUGAGUGAUGAAGGUCUUCGGAUCGUAAAACUCUGUUAUUAGGAAAGAACAUAUGUGUAAGUAACUGUGCACAUCUUGACGGUACCUAAUCAGAAAGCCACGGCUAACUACGUG
rnacentral:rRNA from 1 species